GAGUUUGAUCUUGGCUCAGAUUGAACGCUGGCGGCAUGCCUUACACAUGCAAGUCGAACGGCAGCACGGGAGCUUGCUCCUGGUGGGCGAGUGGCGAACGGGUGAGUAAUGCAUCGGAACGUAUCCUGGAGUGGGGGAUAACGUAGCGAAAGUUACGCUAAUACCGCAUAUUCUGUGAGCAGGAAAGCGGGGGACCUUCGGGCCUCGCGCUCUUGGAGCGGCCGAUGUCGGAUUAGCUAGUUGGUGAGGUAAAGGCUCACCAAGGCGACGAUCCGUAGCAGGUCUGAGAGGAUGAUCUGCCACACUGGAACUGAGACACGGUCCAGACUCCUACGGGAGGCAGCAGUGGGGAAUUUUGGACAAUGGGGGCAACCCUGAUCCAGCCAUGCCGCGUGAGUGAAGAAGG
rnacentral:rRNA from 1 species